ACUUUUUUAUGUAAACAAAAUCUUCCUAUGUUCAAGAUUUAUAUUUAUGCAAACAGAAAAUCCAUUUACCUACAGACAGAGUUCUCUACUUCAAAAUAUCCCCAUACGAGUGUUGACAACAUGUCAUCUGCAUAUGAAUAUACAAACAGGAGAACACCUUGAGCCAUAUAUAGUCAUAACCGCUGAUCACAAAUUCACAACAGAACAAAAUAUUUGUUUCUUAACACCAACAACAACAACCCCCAACACCCCACCACACACCAACACCCACACCCCCUCCUUUUUGUUGUAUUUCUUCCAACCACCAUGCCUCAGCGGUGUUUCUUGGUGAAAGAGAAGGUCCUUGAAGGAUGGUCAAGUGUUUUUUUCUAAAACAGAUAAUGCAGGUGUCAAAUAUUUGUUCGCUUUGCCGGGGUAGAUGUGGCACCAGCUUAUAGAGCUCCCUCCCUUGCCCAGCAGCGCAUUCACGACAAACCUCCUCAAUUAGUCUUUCCCAGCCUCUUGGCUUUCAGAACUUCCUCCCUUCUGGUAGGUUCUACUCCUAAACCUGUACAUGAGACUAAGACAGAGUUUGUUUCUUGCCCAGUAGGCAAAGGUUUUAUAUAUUCCAAAAUUAGCUUAAAGCUUCUCAGAUCUUGCUUUGUUCGUACAGGUGCUUCAACAGGUCUCUGCAGCAAGAAUAUCAAAUAGAACCAGCAAAACUAAACGAAAAGAAUUUGCAAAUCAAUCAGGUGCAUAACUAAUAAGUUGUCAACCAUAUCAUCAGGAAUUGUUCUUAAUUUUAGACUUAAAAAUUCUAUAAUCAUCUUUUCUACAAGUCCAAAUUAUCCAAGUAAUGCAAGGAAAUAUACCAGAAAGCUAUCACAAGAAAAAUUCUCACUUUAAAUGUUAAUACCCAGAUAAUGGUAAAGGCAAAUCAACAGUUUCUUAGGAGAUUGAAAAAGAAGUCAUAAACAGUGAUUUGGCAGAACUGCAACAUAAACUGUUAUAGUUGUACUCAUAAUUGGUCUGAGUAACAUUUCUGAAAUGAGAUCGUCUCCACUUCAGAGAGUAAUUUGAAAUUCCAUUUAGCCAUUGCUUUUAUAAUAAAUAAAAUGAGUUAAAAAGUUAUUAAGAAAGGAAUUCUACAGCCCAUCCCCUAUUUAAAGGUCAAAAGAAAGGGAGGACAAGAGAAAAGUCAUUUGCUCAUAAUUGUUAGAUGUUUUGAAACAAUUAUAGCCACUAAUUCUAAAUGUUUAUACAACAUAAAGCCUGUUUCAGGAAAUCUUAAUCGCGAUACGCAUCUGUUGUGACCUGGUCACAACCAAACAGAAGAAGAGAGGAAAGGGGGAAGAAUAGAAGAACGGGCAGAAGGAGACGAGAGAGAGAGAGAGA
rnacentral:misc_RNA from 1 species